rnacentral:lncRNA from 1 species
GUUCUGCGACCGUGGAGGUCCGCCGGCGUUGGCCGACCUCGGUUCCUGGUGCUGUAGCGAGGCCUGAUUGCUGGUAGUGACCUGGAGGACGGGGCUGGCAUUUCAAACGGCCAGUUGUUUUUCCCAGUCACUGCAUAACUUAUAGAAGCUAUGCAUACCGGCUAGCCAACAAAGCCAAGGAACAAAAGCUAUGGCAGUUGAAGCGGUCCCUGGGAGUCUAGGGCUUUUCCCCUGGAUUUUAACACCACGGAUCUCUUUCUUUUCAUCCCAUCAGCAAUGUGGUACCUCCUCCUAUUUGAUGACAACAGCCGAUACUUAGGAUUUAGAGACCAAGUUAG